rnacentral:rRNA from 3 species
UACGGAGGGUGCAAGCGUUAUCCGGAUUCACUGGGUUUAAAGGGUGCGUAGGCGGGCAGGUAAGUCAGUGGUGAAAUCUUCGAGCUUAACUCGGAAACUGCCGUUGAUACUAUCUGUCUUGAAUACUCGGGAGGUGAGCGGAAUAUGUCAUGUAGCGGUGAAAUGCUUAGAUAUGACAUAGAACACCAAUUGCGAAGGCAGCUCACUACAGAGUCAUUGACGCUGAGGCACGAAAGCGUGGGGAUCAAACAGG